GUAGGGUGGGCAAGCGUUGUCCGGAAUUAUUGGGGCGUAAAGCGCGCGCAGGCGGUCCUUUAAGUCUGAUGUGAAAGCCCACGGCUCAACCGUGGAGGGUCAUUGGAAACUGGGGGACUUGAGUACAGAAGAGGAAAGCGGAAUUCCAAGUGUAGCGGUGAAAUGCGUAGAGAUUUGGAGGAACACCAGUGGCGAAGGCGGCUUUCUGGUCUGUAACUGACGCUGAGGCGCGAAAGCGUGGGGAGCAAACAGGAUUAGAUACCCUGGUAGUCCACGCCGUAAACGAUGAGUGCUAAGUGUUAGGGGGUUUCCGCCCCUUAGUGCUGCAGCUAACGCAUUAAGCACUCCGCCUGGGGAGUACGGCCGCAAGGCUG
rnacentral:rRNA from 1 species